rnacentral:rRNA from 1 species
GACGAACGCUGGCGGCGUGCUUAACACAUGCAAGUCGAACGGUAAGGCUCCAGCUUGCUGGGGUACACGAGUGGCGAACGGGUGAGUAACACGUGGGUGACCUGCCCUGCACUUCGGGAUAAGCCUGGGAAACUGGGUCUAAUACCGGAUAGGACCGCACCGUGAGGGUGUGGUGGAAAGUUUUUUCGGUGUGGGAUGGGCCCGCGGCCUAUCAGCUUGUUGGUGGGGUAAUGGCCUACCAAGGCGGCGACGGGUAGCCGGCCUGAGAGGGUGGACGGCCACAUUGGGACUGAGACACGGCCCAGACUCCUACGGGAGGCAGCAGUGGGGAAUAUUGCACAAUGGGCGGAAGCCUGAUGCAGCGACGCCGCGUGGGGGAAGACGGCCUUCGGGUUGUAAACUCCUUUCACCAUCGACGAAGGGUUUCUGACGGUAGAUGGAGAAGAAGCACCGGCUAACUACGUG